ACCUCUUCUCGGCCUUUUGACUAAGAUAAGUGUAGUAGUUGUUCUUAUCAGUAUAAUAUCUGAUAUGUGGGCCAUCGGUUCACACAAUAUUAGCUCAAUUUUUANGGGGGGGGGGGGGUAGUAGUCUGUUAAGGUAGCUUGCUAACUGAGCUUUUGCUCGUUGCCCAUGUGCUGCUCUACAGUACGGACCUGGUGCACUCCAC